GCUUGAGUAGCUCAGCUGGUUGAGCAUCAGCCUUUUAAUCUGAGGGUCCAGGGUUCGAGUUCCUGGUCAGGCA